GACGAACGCUGGCGGCGUGCCUAACACAUGCAAGUCGAACGAAGCAUUUAAGUGGAUCCCUUCGGGGUGAAGGUUUUAUGACUUAGUGGCGGACGGGUGAGUAACGCGUGAGUAACCUGCCUUUCAGAGGGGGAUAACAGUUGGAAACGACUGCUAAUACCGCAUAACGUAUUUGAAUCGCAUGAUUCGGAUACCAAAGCUGAGGCGCUGAAAGAUGGACUCGCGUCUGAUUAGAUAGUUGGUGGGGUAACGGCCUACCAAGUCGACGAUCAGUAGCCGGACUGAGAGGUUGAUCGGCCACAUUGGGACUGAGACACGGCCCAGACUCCUACGGGAGGCAGCAGUGGGGAAUAUUGGGCAAUGGGGGGAAACCCUGACCCAGCAACGCCGCGUGAAGGAAGAAGGCCUUCGGGUUGUAAACUUACUUCUACCAGGGACGAACACAAUGACGGUACCUGGAGAAAAAGACAACGGCGUAACUACGUG
rnacentral:rRNA from 1 species